rnacentral:rRNA from 1 species
CCUACGGGAGGCAGCAGUAGGGAAUAUUGCUCAAUGGGGGAAACCCUGAAGCAGCAACGCCGCGUGGAGGAUGAAGGUUUUCGGAUUGUAAACUCCUUUUGGUAGAGAAGAGAAGGACGGUAGCUAACGAAUAAGCACCGGCUAACGCCGUGCCAGCAGCCGCGGUAAUACGGAGGGUGCAAGCGUUACUCGGAAUCACUGGGCGUCAAGAGCGCGUAGGCGGGAUAGCAAGUCAGAUGUGAAAUCCUAUGGCUUAACCAUAGAACUGCAUUUGAAACGGUUAUUCUAGAGUAUGGGAGAGGUAGGUGGAAUUCUUGGUGUAGCGGUCACAUCCGUCGAGAUCACGCGGAAUACUCAUUGCGAAGGCGACCUGCUAGACCAUAACUGCCGCUGAUGCGCGACAGCGUGGGGAGCAAACAGGCUUAGAUACCCUUGUAGUC